rnacentral:rRNA from 1 species
UACAGAGGUCUCAAGCGUUGUUCGGAUUCAUUGGGCGUAAAGGGCGUGUAGGUGGCGCCGUAAGUCGGGUGUGAAAUUUCGGAGCUUAACUCCGAAACUGCAUUCGAUACUGCGGUGCUUGAGGACUGGAGAGGAGACUGGAAUUCAUGGUGUAGCAGUGAAAUGCGUAGAGAUCAGGAGGAAGACCAGUGGCGAAGGCGGGUCUCUGGACAGUUCCUGACACUGAGACACGAAGGCCAGGGGAGCAAACGGG